rnacentral:lncRNA from 1 species
UAGCUGAUGAAUUUUCACUGUUCUUAGAUGGUUUCCAGCAGAUCGUGUUGGCACACUUCAUUGGCUCAUGAUAAAGUGUGCAAAAGCCGUACGCAGAGGAUUACUCACGGUCUGUGUUCCCGCCCUCUGGGGUCAUCUUCCAGGGAUGGGUCCUUGUCCCAGGGAGCAAACUGACAACAAACAGUCCAGAGUGAAGUCCAAAGAGUUCCGAGGUAUCCGUUGUGAAGACACUACUCCGUUAGGCCACCAGGGGGCACAAAAGCACACAGAAUGACUGGAAGGGGGUUCCCUCAGGGAGAGCUCCUGUCCUAUCCGGGUGGCAAAAUCAUGAAACUGAUGAUAAGAAAUAAAAUUGCAUUUUUGAAAUUGAAAAUCACGAAGUUUGGAGUCAUGUCGGAAAGUCAUCUACACUGCUAAAAAUAAAACAACAAC